CCUCCACGUCUGACACGCUCCGGCCGUGUAAAACAACACCCAGAGGCGGAAUAAAAUUGAAUUACCAGAGGAAAUAAAACAAAGAAAAAAAAAAAAACAGGAUUAUUUGUAACCCGGAGUGGAACUUUAUCAACAUUUUUUUUUUAAUCUUUGAAAAAAAAAAGAAGCUUUUAUUUUCCACAAAAAAAAAAAAGUAAUCUGGGAAGAAUUGUCACCAUGAGGAUUUGGACUGUGGUGCUUUUAGUGCUUCACUCUCUGGUGGCGUCCAGACAGGCGUGCGGCGCGGCGGUGGAAAGGUACGACAGCGACAGGCAGCAGCACACGGCUGUCAUCAACUUCCAGGAUGUGAGCGAGGACAGAAGGCCGGGGGAGGUGGUGGAGGAGGAGGGGGCGGAGCGGACAGGAGAAGUUGCUAUGUUGGAGGAGGAUGAGGAGUAUGGAGAUGAAUACUACUAUGAUGGAGAGGAUUAUGAUGAAAGCACAUCCGGGGAUUAUGAAGCGGAAGUGCCAAGAGUCGCUAUGUCGAGCAAACCCAAAGAUCCAUCUGCCAUCCUGGAGGCGGAAAACCCGGAGGGAGCGAGAAGAAGAGCGAAAGGGCGAAAGCGGGGGAAGGGGAAAGGAAAGAAGAGGGAUCCUUGCCUGAGGAAGUACAAAGACUUCUGCAUUCACGGCACCUGUCGGUACCUGAGAGACCUCCGACAGCCAUCUUGUGUGUGUCACCUGAGCUACUCCGGGAAAAGGUGUGAGUUCUUCACCCUGCCUGUGGAGAAGCCUCAGGAGGGCUACAACCGCACCACCGCUCUGGCUGUUGUAGCUGUGGUGCUGUCGUCCAUCUGCCUGACCAUCAUCGGCCUUUUACUCAUGCUCAGGUUUCACAAGCGGGGAGCGUAUGAUGUAGAGAGUGAGGAGAAAGUCAAGUUAGGGUUAGCGUCCAGCCACUGAAGAGACAAAGAAGGGUGAGUACAAUCUCAGUUAAUAAAUCCUACAUUCAGAGCAUUGAAGGAGUCUGUUGGCAGUGUAGGAGUUCGCACAUCCAAAGUCAGAUGGCCUCUAUCGGAUUUGCGUCAAAGAAGAAGAUAAUGCUGGUAGUGUUUUGGUUCACACAGCUGACAUGACCAAAUACAACAAAACUUUGUUUUCAGCACAAACCUGUUCAAGAUUAGACAAACAAACAGUGUACAGGGUUACAGAACAAGAACGCUGAUGGGUCGCCAUAAGGCGCCCCGUAAAAGAUGGGAAAAAGAUAAACGCUAUGGAAGGAUGAGUAAAAAAAUACAAUCCAGACUGAGCUCCUAAGGGGGCCCAAUCUGGAGUGGGAAAAAAAACCUCCAUAGCAAAGCACAUAUACUUAUUACAACAUACAUCUCGAGAUAUCUAGCAACAGAGGGAAGGUAGUUCAUGGUCAUGGUGGUAGGCCGCAGCUCUCAGGCGCUGACCAUCCAUUCAUCACCUCUAUGGGAUUUGUGUCAAAGAAGAAGAUAAUGCUGGCAGUGUUUUGGUUCACACAGCUGACAUGACCAAAUACAACAAAACUUUGUUUUCAGCACAAACCUCUUCAAGAUUAGACAAACAAACAGAGUACAGGGUUACAGAACAAGAACGCUGAUGGGUCGCCAUAAGGCGCCCCGUAAAAGAUGGGAAAAAAGUAAACGCUGGGGAAGGAUGAGUAAAAAAAUACAAUCCAGACUGAGCUCCUAAGGGGGCCCAGUCUGGAGUGGGAAAAAAAACCUCCAUAGCAAAGCACAUAUACAUAUUACAACAUACAUCUCGAGAUAUCUAGCAACAGAGGGAAGGUAGUUCACGGUCAUGGUGGUAGGCCGCAGCUCUCAGGCGCUGACCAUCCAUUCACCACCUCUAUUAGAUUUGCGUCAAAGAAGAAGAUAAUGUUGGUAGUGUUUUGGUUCACACAGCUGACAUGACCAAAUACAACAAAACUUUGUUUUCAGCACAAACCUCUUCAAGAUUAGACAAACAAACAGUGUACAGGGUUACAGAACAAGAACGCUGAUGGGUCGCCAUAAGGCGCCCCGUAAAAGAUGGGAAAAAGGUAAACACUGGGGAAGGAUGAGUUAAAAAAUACAAUCCAGACUGGACUCCUAAGGGGGCCCAGUCUGGAGUGGGAAAAAAAACCUCCAUAGCAAAGCACAUAUACAUAUUACAACAUACAUCUCGAGAUAUCUAGCAACAGAGGGAAGGUAGUUCAUGGUCAUGGUGGUAGGCCGCAGCUCUCAGGCGCUGACCAUCCAUUCACCACCUCUAUCGGAUUUGCGUCAAAGAAGAAGAUAAUGCUGGUAGUGUUUUGGUUCACACAGCUGACAUGACCAAAUACAACAAAACUUUGUUUUCAGCACAAACCUGUUCAAGAUCAGACAAACAAACAGUGUACAGGGUUACAGAACAAGAACGCUGAUGGGUCGCCAUAAGGCGCCCCGUAAAAGAUGGGAAAAAGGUAAACACUGGGGAAGGAUGAGUUAAAAAAUACAAUCCAGACUGGACUCCUAAGGGGGCCCAGUCUGGAGUGGGAAAAAAACCUCCAUAGCAAAGCACAUAUACAUAUUAUAACAUACAUCUCGAGAUAUCUAGCAACAGAGGGAAGGUAGUUCAAGGUCAUGGUGGUAGGCCGCAGCUCUCAGGCGCUGACCAUCCAUUCACCACCUCUAUCGGAUUUGCGUCAAAGAAGAAGAUAAUGCUGGUAGUGUUUUGGUUCACACAGCUGACAUGACCAAAUACAACAAAACUUUGUUUUCAGCACAAACCUGUUCAAGAUUAGACAAACAAACAGUGUACAGGGUUACAGAACAAGAACGCUGAUGGGUCGCCAUAAGGCGCCCCGUAAAAGAUGGGAAAAAAGUAAACGCUAGGGAAGGAUGAGUAAAAAAAUACAAUCCAGACUGGGCCCCCUUAGGAGCCCAGUCUGGAGUGGGAAAAAACCUCCAUAGCAAAGCACAUAUACAUAUUAUAACAUACAUCUCGAGAUAUCUAGCAACAGAGGGAAGGUAGUUCAAGGUCAUGGUGGUAGGCCGCAGCUCUCAGGCGCUGACCAUACAUUCACCACCUCUAUCGGAUUUGCGUCAAAGAAGAAGAUAAUGCUGGUAGUGUUUUGGUUCACACAGCUGACAUGACCAAAUACAACAAAACUUUGUUUUCAGCACAAACCUGUUCAAGAUUAGACAAACAAACAGUGUACAGGGUUACAGAACAAGAACGCUGAUGGGUCGCCAUAAGGCGCCCCGUAAAAGAUGGGAAAAAAGUAAACGCUAGGGAAGGAUGAGUAAAAAAAUACAAUCCAGACUGGGCCCCCUUAGGAGCCCAGUCUGGAGUGGGAAAAAACCUCCAUAGCAAGUAGUGUUUUGGUUCACACAGCUGACAUGACCAAAUACAGGGUGUAGUCUACCCAUUACACAAUGUCAGCUGGGAUGAGCCCACCUGUGAUGCUAAAAAGGAUGAGCGGUAAAACAUGCAAAGUUAACUGGUAUAGACUCCAGCUUUCCCAAAAAGGGGUGGGAAAUUAAAGAAUGGCUAUAGGUAGUGUAUGGUUAAAAGCUAGGAUAGGCUUCAGCUUUCUAAAACAGCCCGAGGGUUCCAAAAUGAAUGAAUGAUGUUUUCUGAAAGGUUAAGGGUAGUGUCGUGGUUCACCUGUUGCCCAAAGUCAGCUGGGAUAGGCUCCAGCGUUCCCGUGAGCCUAAACACAAUAGGUAUUGAAUAGCCGCAAAUAAAAUCACAGUGUAGUUAAAAGCAGGGCAAACAAAUCACACUUUUGACAAACGUGUUUGAUAUUUGUUGAUUUGAAGCAUUGAACUUAUAUUUGACUUUCUUUUAUCCCGCCAUGUCAGGCAAAGGAGUGGAGAUACUACCUCAAAAUAGAAGGAUAAGAGAAGAAGGGUCCUCCAGAACAUGAAAGGAACG